rnacentral:lncRNA from 1 species
AAUACUACAACAGGUUAUAUUUGUACAACACAAUGACUAACAUAACAACACAAUAUAAAAAUUAUUACAGCCUGCAUGAUACAGGGUGGUCAUGUACCGUUGCCACACAAGUUAUAGCAGGAUGACCACAUUAUCCCACUGACUAUCCCAUACAUGACAAAAACAGCCCAUUUCCAUCUUUUUCUUUUUGCUGCAACUGCGGCUUCUUCCCGCAACUUAUUAUUGCUUUCUAGUAAACCAUUAACCACUGAGAUACUCCGGCUCGUAAAUUGUGGGUCGUACCACCCAAAAUAAUUACAUGCGUUCCUCCCCUGCAUCUGAAAGAUAAUAUAAAUUACACAUCAAAUAAUGUCAAUAUAUGAAUCAACAAGUUUAUAGUAGCCAGCUUUACCCUAUAUCUUGAACAGCCAUAAAAUCUCCGACCCGGAUUAUUUUGUGUCCAAGAGGUCUUAAUCGUACAGGGCAAUCCACAGUGGCAGAGCGGUGUGGAUUGGUUGCUUCGACUGCUCGAAGUUGUAAAGCUUGAAUCCAUCUAACUUAUAAUAUUAUAACAAUAAGAAAUACGUACAAACCGACGCAAUAUUACGACAGAUAGUAAGCACAAAUAUUGAUUAUAAAUAUGGCACACACCAUCAAAUAAUU